GUAGUUAGCCGGGGCUUCCUCCUUGAUUACCGUCUUCCCCUCUUCAUCAAGGACAGAGGUUUACGAUCCGAAAACCUUCUUCCCUCACGCGGCGUUGCUGGGUCAGGGUUUCCCCCAUUGCCCAAUAUUCCCCACUGCUGCCUCCCGUAGGAGUCUGGACCGUCUCUCAGUUCCAGUGUGGCCGAUCAGCCUCUCAGCUCGGCUACCCAUCGUAGACUUGGUGGGCCGUUGCCCCGCCAACUAUCUAAUGGGACGCGAGCCCCUCUCCCUGCGGAUUUCUCCUUUGACCCCUCUGCCAUGCGACAGUGUGGUCUUAUGCGGUAUUAGCACCAGUUUCCCGGUGUUAUCCCCCGGUAUAAGGUAGGUUACCCACGCGUUACUCACCCGUCCGCCACUCAGUCACCUUGGCGAUUCCACUCUUAGCAAGCUAAUUGCUUCUUCAAUAAGGUGCUUCGUUCGACUUGCAUGUGUUAAGCACGCCGCCAGCGUUCAUCCUAAGCCAGGAUCAAACUCUGA
rnacentral:rRNA from 1 species